rnacentral:rRNA from 1 species
GACGAACGCUGGCGGCGUGCUUAACACAUGCAAGUCGAACGGAAAGGCCCUGCUUUUGUGGGGUGCUCGAGUGGCGAACGGGUGAGUAACACGUGAGUAACCUGCCCUUGACUUUGGGAUAACUUCAGGAAACUGGGGCUAAUACCGGAUAGGAGCUCCUGCUGCAUGGUGGGGGUUGGAAAGUUUCGGCGGUUGGGGAUGGACUCGCGGCUUAUCAGCUUGUUGGUGGGGUAGUGGCUUACCAAGGCUUUGGCGGGUAGCCGGCCUGAGAGGGUGACCGGCCACAUUGGGACUGAGAUACGGCCCAGACUCCUACGGGAGGCAGCAGUGGGGAAUAUUGCACAAUGGGCGGAAGCCUGAUGCAGCAACGCCGCGUGCGGGAUGAUGGCCUUCGGGUUGUAAACCGCUUUCGCCUGUGACGAAGCGUGAGUGACGGUAAUGGGUAAAGAAGCACCGGCUAACUACGUG